rnacentral:rRNA from 1 species
UAAGGAAUAUUGGACAAUGGAGGGAACUCUGAUCCAGCCAUGCCGCGUGAAGGAUGAAGGCGCUCAGCGUUGUAAACUUCUUUUGGAUGGGAACAAUAACUUCUACGUGUAGGAGCUUGAGGGUACCAUCAGAAUAAGCACCGGCUAACUCCGUGCCAGCAGCCGCGGUAAUACGGAGGGUGCAAGCGUUAUCCGGAAUCACUGGGUUUAAAGGGUGCGUAGGCGGUGGCGUAAGUCAGUUGUGAAAUUCCCCGGCUUAACCGGCGGGACUGCGAUUGAUACUGCGUCACUUGAAUCAGGAUGAGGUAGGCGGAAUGUGACAUGUAGCGGUGAAAUGCUUAGAUAUGUCAUAGAACACCGAUUGCGAAGGCAGCUUGCUGGACCUGUAUUGACGCUGAGGCACGAAAGCGUGGGGAGCAAACAGG